rnacentral:rRNA from 1 species
ACGAGGGUGACAGGUGGUGCAUGGUUGUCGUCAGCUCGUGUCGUGAGAUGUUGGGUUAAGUCCCGCAACGAGCGCAACCCUCGACCUUAGUUGCCAGCAUUCAGUUGGGCACUCUAAGGUGACUGCCGGCUAAAAGUCGGAGGAAGUGGGGAUGACGUCAAAUCAUCAUGCCCCUUAUGACCAGGGCUACACACGUACUACAAUGGCCGAUACAAAGGGCAGCGACACUGCGAGGUGAAGCCAAUCCCGUAAAAUCGGUCUCAGUCCGGAUUGGAGUCUGCAACUCGACUCCAUGAAGUUGGAAUCGCUAGUAAUCGUGGAUCAGCAUGCCACGGUGAAUACGUUCCCGGGCCUU